UGUGUAGUUGCAAGUCGAGUGAAUUUCGGCGAACCUGUGAGAAUUAAAAGUGUUAGACACGAGUUUUACUGAUGACUUACUUCCAAAUAUCCUGAGAGGACGAUGGCAGUGAUAAGACCGUAAAUAGCCACAGCCUCACAGAAAAUGACGGAGAUCAAGUUCUUGGUUUUGAUCCUGGGCGCCUUGACACCUCCACCAAUAAUACUGACGCCGGUUGUGUGAAUUCCA